rnacentral:rRNA from 1 species
CGAACGCUGGCGGCAUGCCUACCACAUGCAAGUCGAACGAGACCUUCGGGUCUCGUGGCGCACGGGUGCGUAACGCGUGGGAACCUGCCCUUAGGUUCGGAAUAACUCCCCGAAAGGGGUGCUAAUACCGGAUAAUGUCUUCGGACCAAAGAUUUAUCGCCUUUGGAUGGGCCCGCGUUGGAUUAGCUAGUUGGUAGGGUAAAAGCCUACCAAGGCGACGAUCCAUAGCUGGUCUGAGAGGAUGAUCAGCCACACUGGGACUGAGACACGGCCCAGACUCCUACGGGAGGCAGCAGUGGGGAAUAUUGGACAAUGGGCGAAAGCCUGAUCCAGCAAUGCCGCGUGAGUGAUGAAGGCCUUAGGGUUGUAAAGCUCUUUUACCCGGGAUGAUAAUGACAGUACCGGGAGAAUAAGCUCCGGCUAACUCCGUG